rnacentral:rRNA from 1 species
GAUGAACGCUAGCUACAGGCUUAACACAUGCAAGUCGAGCGAGCGGCGGACGGGUGAGUAAUGUCUGGGAAACUGCCUGAUGGAGGGGGAUAACUACUGGAAACGGUAGCUAAUACCGCAUAACAUCAGCUGUGCCCAGAUGGGAUUAGCUAGUAGGUGGGGUAAUGGCCGACCUAGGCGACGAUCCCUAGCGGGUCUGAGAGGAUGACCAGCCACACUGAAACUGGAACACGGUCCAGACUCCAACGGGAGGCAGCCAUGGGGAAUAUUGCACAAUGGGGGCAAGCCUUGUGGAGCCAUGCCGCGUGUGUGAAAAAGGCCUUCGGGUUGUAAAGCUCUUUCAGCGGGGAGGCGUUUCCCGCAGAAGAAGCACCGGCUAACUCCGGGCCAGCAGCCGCGGUAAUUC